GAUGAAGAACGCAGUGAAAUGCGAUAAGUAGUGUGAAUUGCAGAAUUCCGUGAAUCAUCGAAUCUUUGAACGCACAUUGCGCCUUCUGGUAUUCCGGAAGGCAUGCCUGUUCGAGAGUCAUUAACAACCGUUUCGAUCCCUUUCUUUCAGAAAUUACAAAGAGGAAAAGGGUUUGGUUAUGGUGGAGGAGGGAAAGGGAGCGUUUAGCCUGUAAAAAAAGAGGCUGUGUUCCGCCUCCCCCCCAAAAUUGUACAGGCGGUCGUGUGCGCCCACGCAUCGAGGUGUUGUAAAAGCUGCCACGGCACUUUUCACCUGUGCAGUGCGAGAUUGGCCAGCCGGUUUAAAAACCCCUCCAAACAAUCAAAGGUUGACCUCGGAUCAGGUAGGGAUACCCGCUGAACUUAAGCAUAUCAAUAAGCGGAGG
rnacentral:misc_RNA from 1 species